AAAACUUUCAGCCAAUGAAAAGGUGCCUGAGGCGUGACGCACGGAAACGUCACGGGAAUUCCCCCCUCCGGGGGGCGGAAAAGGGGCUUUCCCCGUUGGUGUCCUGGUAACUGGAGUAGUGUCUCCACCCAUCCGAGGCGGGUCGGACGCUAAUAGUAGACGGAACCAGAGUCGUCGCCACGCCCAGCUCCGGAUCUCGCUCUCCACCGGAUCUUACCCGCCACACCCGGACAGGCGACCAGAGGAGAUCGGACCCUCCCCCAAAUCUGGGCACCCCUUUUCC